ACCAUAUUUAGGAAUAGGAUUUCUCAGAGCUCUUAAACUGAUUAAUCAGGCCUAAAAGUUGGUGUUGCAUCUAGUGCUGAUCGCAUCAAGGUUGACGCAAAUUUAGCUGCUGCUGGUUUACCAAUAUCAAUGUAAGCAGCUGGCAGAUCCCCAACGAGGUGACAAAAUUGAGAAAGAAGCAGGAUGAUGGCAUUUCAAAAGAUCAUUUAACGUCAGUGCCAAGUACUAACAUCACAAUUGAAAAAGCAUUUGCUCCAACAGCUUUGAGUGCUCCGGCUGUUAACACAGGUGGACAUGAUGCCACAACUCUGAGAACCUCAGGGCCAGGAUCAUUAUCUACCCUGGAUUUGAUCAAGAAGAAGCUGCAGGACUCUGGAACACCUGUUACUUCCUUAGCUGCUACAGUUGCAUCAGGAACAGUGGCCUCAGAAUUAAAUGGCUUUGAGUGCUCCGGGUGUUAACACAGGUGGACAUGAUGCCACAACUCUGAGAACCUCAGGGCCAGGAUCAUCAUCUACCCUGGAUUUGAUCCAGAAGAAGCUGCAGGACUCUGGAACACCUGUCUCUUCCUUAGCUGCUACAGUUGCAUCAGGAACAGUGGCCUCAGAAUUAAAUGGCUUUAAAGCUGUUGAGGUUCCAGUGAAGGGCUUGCCAAAUGAGAACAGCAAAGAAAAGUUAAAAGAUGCUAAUGGUGACGGUAAACAUGUCUGACUCUUCUUCAGAGUCAGAGGAUGAAGACAAUGGACCAUGGAAGGAGGAGUGCAUUGCUAUAUUUAAGGAAAUGCUUAAGGAAAGAGGAGUGGCUCCAUUCUCAAAAUGGGAGAAGGAACUGCCAAAGAUAGUAUUUGAUCCCCGUUUUAAGUCUAUGUAUAUUGUGCUAGAUGGGAAUAUUUCUCACUCAUACUGUGAUGACUUUGCUGCUUUGUUGAUUGGGAAAGGCAUUUUCUUUUUUAGGCCAUCCCAGGUCAAUCGGGAAAGAGGCCCUUGUUUGAACACCAUGUUAAGACACGCGCUAAGGAGGAACAUAAGGAAAAAUGAGCAGCACAGAAGGCUGCAAUAGAGGGAUUCAAGCAGUUACUUGAAGAAGCAUUAGAGGAUAUUGACCACAACACUGAAAAUCAAACAUUCAGAAAGAAAUGGGGUAGUGAUCCAAGAUUUGAGGCAUUAGACUGCAAGGAUCGAGAACUUUAAUUGAACGAAAGGGUCCUUCUAUUGAAGAGGGCUGUCAAAGAAAAAGCUCAAGCAAUACGUGCUGCGGCUGCCUCUAGUUUCAAGUCUAUGCUUAAAGAAAAAGGGGAUGUAACUGUCAGUUCCCGCUGGUCCAAGAUAAUGGGAGUUUUCCCUCAGAAUAUUCAUCUGCCAUGCCCAAAGAAAGAACAGAUAAUGGGCCCGUCCAGGUUGUAGGUGCUACCAGUGACAAAGAUCUCUCAACUUGGGGUUGCAAGGUUCUUGGCGAGAAGUACUGAGAUAUGGAAGUUUGGGAGUUGCUAUAUCUUGUGUCAUAUGAAAAAUACACAAAGUAGUUGGAUUGUUUAAGCAAAUAGUACAUUUUAAGAAAGAAAAU